GCGGCCGCGGGCACCGGGAGAGCAGCGCGCCGAGGCCCCUAGCUUCCUUCAGAGCGCUCGGCACCGCCGUCCCCACCGACCUUCAGCGGGGCCGGGGCCAGGCUCCGACAGCCAGCAGUCGGCUCCUCCGUGCAGUCCCCGGUAGACAGCCCGGUUCCUGCGCUAGUCGAUUUGUGCAUUAGGAAAGGCGGCUACAGGGAUUCUGCGCUGAGGCGGGACAGCUGCCUUUCGGGACCUAGUCCUUGCAUCUUGGGUGGUGUGGGUGCUGAUCUGGUUGUUUCUCGGUUUAUGAAGCCCAAAAGGCCGGGAGGGGGCUGAUGAAGUGAACCCUUUCGCUGUUAUAUUCCAUUAACAGAA